UUGUGUUUAUGACAGACGCUCCAAAGACCCCCUCAGUGAGCGUGAGACCCCCUGGUGGAAUAAAGGAGGGCGGUUCAGUGACUCUGAGCUGCAGCAGUGAUGCCAACCCAGCAGCUAACUACACCUGGUUCAGGGAACAUGGAGGCUCAGUGGAGGAAUUAGGAGAGAACUACACCAUCAGUAACAUCACAACUGAGCUUGGAGGAAAUUAUUACUGUGAAGCUCGUAAUGCAGUUGGACUUCAGAAUUCAACUUUGAUGUUCCUUAAUGUGACAGACACAUCUUCAUCAUCAGUGACCAUAACAAAUGUGGCUAGAGGUACUGUUGUUGUUUUACUGCCCACCAUACUCCUCGUCAUCUACCUUUGGACGAGAAGAAAGAGGGCUUCUAGGAAAGCGCGUGGCC